rnacentral:lncRNA from 1 species
AUGCAAUAUGCCACUUUAACAGUCCUGGAGCCCGGAGUUCUGCUCAGCCACAACACAGGACAUGAAGCUGACAGCAGGGUGGAUUUGUACAUGCUGCUCACCUUAUGCUCCUUAAUUGUGCUCAGCAGAGACCAGUCUAAGGACAGAGUUAGCAUGGGAGAGCUGGUGAAUUCUGAGGAACACUUGGGACAUGGAAGAGCAUUUCAUAUGGUGGAGAGUACAAAAAAAUGUGGUGAUAAGGUUUCAUCUCCUGUUUUACUCCACCAAAAGAUACUUUUCUACAUCUUUACAUGGCAGCUAUAUUCUAUAGCAUUCUUCCACAGGAGGAAGAAAAUAGCGACUUUUCAGGCCAAAAGAGUGAAAAAGUUGUCUCUUAACUAA